GAAAGGCACCACGAGAGUCAUACUGUCUCCUUUCUCUAAUCAGUGAAACUAAUCUCCCCGUGAAGAAGCGAGGAUAAAAAUAUAAGACGAGAAGACCCUAUGGAGCUUAAAACAAAUAACACUUGCCUGCCAAAUUUCUAAUUUCAGAAAAACUUCCUACCCCAGCAUCAUGAUUAUUAGUUUUCGGUUGGGGUGACCACGGAACAAAAAACAACCUCCGUAAUGAAGAGCACUCAUCUACUUAAUCAAGGACCACAGCCCCACACAUCAACAAAUUGACACUAAUUGACCCAACACGUUGAUCAAUGAACCAAGUUACCCUAGGGAUAACAGCGCAAUCCACUUCAAGAGCUCCUAUCGACAAGUGG
rnacentral:rRNA from 1 species